CGCGCGGCCCUGCCCGUCACGCCGGUGCGAAGCCGCAACUCGCCGUCGGAAGCGUCAAACGUCCACGCCAUCACAUGGUGAGCACGGUGCGGUAGUGCGCGCGGCCCU
rnacentral:sRNA from 1 species